UCCGGGCUUUGACUUGAACACUCCAGAACAUUCACCUUGUUGUCUUUGAACCAUUUCUGUGCAUCUUUUGCUGUACGCUUACGUUCGUUGUCUUGUUGGAAAAUAAACCUUCUCCCAAGUCAUAAUUCUGUUGCAGACCGAGUCAGAUUAUCCUCCAGGAUUUGGUGAUAUUUUUCAGCAUUCAUAUUCCCCUCCUCCUUUACAAGUCUUCCAGGGCCUGCUACCGAGAGGCAUCCCCACAUCAUGAUGCUGCCACCACCAUGCUUCAUGGUGGAGAUGAUGUGUUUGUUGUGAUGUCCAGUGUUUGGUGUUUAUCAAACAUAGCAUCUAGUCUGAUGGCCAAAAAGCUCAAUUUUUGUCUCACCAGAUGGAAGAGCCUUCUUCAAAUUGACCUUGGAGUCUCCCACAUCCCUUUGGGUGAAUUCCAGGAGAGAUUUCGUAUGAGCUUUUUUCAACAGUGGCUCUUUCUUUGCCAUUCUUCCAUAUAGCUUUGACUGGUGAAGAACCAGAGCAACAGUUGUUGUAUGUACAGUCUCUCCCAUCUGAGCCACUGAAGCUUUUAACUCCUACAGAGUGGUCAUAGGCAUUGUUCCCUCUAAGCUGCGCGCGUGCGCAAUUGCGCACUGACACGGUCUCCGCACAGAAAAUCUGCGCUGCGCACAAAACAAAAAUCCAACCUAAAUUGUAAAUAAAAUAAACACGUAACAAUUCAUUCUGUGCUAUUUUUCAAUGUGAGUCAGUGAGUGACCGGUGACUGGCUGCUGCAGCCAAUGAUGCGAUUCACAUACGUAUUUACCAUAGACUGUAUAUAAUGGUAUUUACGCAGCUAAUCAAUGUCAGGCGUCCUUAUGUGCAGCCACCGUUGUUCUCAUAGAUAUGAAUGAGUAGAUAGGACACGCCCCUUUGAGCUGCGUCCUACGGCGAGGCUAAGCUAGUGGGGGCAAAGUUUCAGUGCAUUCCGUUGAUGUAGACGGCGUGAAAACGGAAACAAGAAGUAUGCCGGCUCACUGUACUGCAUACAGUUACACACUGCGUCGUACGAUUGAGACAAGGAAACUUGGAAUGACUUUUCAUAGGUUUCCCAGAGACUAUGGGUUGAGGAGGAAUUGGAAGUUUGUCGGCUUAGACCUGGUGUCAUUCCAUCAGUGUUAAACUUCCCGGCUCAUCUUGGAAGAGUACGUGGAAGAAAGACCACGACCAAGCAGCCUUGAGAUCUUAGGCAGCGUCUCCCUGAGGUCCCUCUCUAUCUCCCCACACAUCCACCAACCACUGGAACACAUCUCCAAAGUUCUGCUGGGCCAGCUCAGCUUCCCCUCAGAAGAAGUGCCACCACCUGCCAGAUGAAGGAGCCUUUUGAGAGGCAGCUGGCAUCGUGAUUGGACUGUACUUUGGUCUGUUCCAAUCCAGCUUCAGCUCCAGAGACGGCAGACGGGACGAGUCAACGGAGGCCGGGUGGACGAAGGCAUGCAGCUGAGUACAAUCCAGAAAACAACAGAGGAGGAGUGCAGUGGCCCAGAGCCAGAACAAGCAGAGUAGCAUCGUAUGUCUCUUAGAAAACAUCAUAGUAUAGCCUUUGGUAUGAAAAAACGCCAUCAUAUACAUCGUAUAUUGUACAAAUAACAAGUCAGAGGAAAGAGACAUACAUUGUAGAAUUGUAGUAAUUGUGGGCUGACUGAUUUACUGAUUAUCAGUAUUUUAUUUUUUACUGAUUUACGGUAAUAAAUACAUUUAAAAAUGGC